AUUGAACGCUGGCGGCAGGCCUAACACAUGCAAGUCGAGCGGAACGGCGGACGGGUGAGUAAUGCCUAGGAAUCUGCCUGUUAGUGGGGGAUACCGUACGGGACCGGGAGCUCAUACCGCAUACUAUCAGAUCAGCCUAGGUCGGAUUAGCUAGUGGGUGGGGUAAGGGCCUACCAAGGCGACGAUCCGUAGCUGGUCUGAGUGGAUGAUCAGUCACACUGGAACUGAGACACGGUCCAGACUCCUACGGGAGGCAGCAGUAGGGAAUAUUGGACAAUGGGCGAAAGCCUGACCCAGCCAUGCCGCGUGUGUGAAGAAGGUCUUCGGAUUGUAAAGCACUUUAAGUUGGGAGGCGUUACCAACAGAAUAAGCACCGGCUAACUUCGUGCCAGCAGCCGCGGUAAUAC
rnacentral:rRNA from 1 species